rnacentral:rRNA from 1 species
UAUUGGGCAAUGGGCGCAAGCCUGACCCAGCGACGCCGCGUGAGGGAUGAAGGUCUUCGGAUUGUAAACCUCUUUCAGUGGGGAAGAAGCGAAAGUGACGGUACCCAAAGAAGAAGCACCGGCUAACUAUGUGCCAGCAGCCGCGGUAAUACAUAGGGUGCAAGCGUUGUCCGGAAUUAUUGGGCGUAAAGAGCUCGUAGGUGGUUUAUCACGUCGGAUGUGAAAUUCUGAGGCUCAACCUCGGACCUGCAUUCGAUACGGGCAAACUAGAGUGUGGUAGGGGAGACUGGAAUUCCUGGUGUAGCGGUGGAAUGCGCAGAUAUCAGGAGGAACACCAAUGGCGAAGGCAGGUCUCUGGGCCAUUACUGACACUGAGAGCAAG